rnacentral:ncRNA from 1 species
GUCCCAUCCAAGGCUAAAUAACGUGAGGAGACCGAUAGAUUACAAGUAGUGUGAACGAAAGAUGAAAAGAACUCUAAAACAGAGGGUGAAAAGUUCCUGAACUGCUUUAGGGUUAAGGCUAUUUAUAGUACCCGUCUUGAAACACGGAUUAGGGAGUUUAUCUGUAGUGCGAGUCUUUGCACGUUAACUGUAAAGGCGUAGAGAAAGCAACUGGCGUUUGCAUGGCUACUGAGCAUUACUGAUAGGACCCGAAAGGUGGUGAACUUUGCCUGCACAGGUUGAAGUCAGGGGAAACUCUGAUGGAGGACCGUACGGGUUAUUGAUGUGCAAAUCAUUUUUCUGAUGUAGGUAAAGGUGCGAAAGACUCAUCGAACCACCUAAUAGCUGGUUUCCUCCGAAGUUUCCCUCAGGAUAGCUGUAAUGCAUUUAGUUAAGGGGAGUAGAGAUAUGGGUAGAGGUGCAGGGAGCCUUCGGGUUCUCAACUUAUUUCCAAACUUCGAACCUCCUUGUUAGGCAUUUACCUAACUGGAAAUGCUUAAAUGAAUUAGCGUUACAAGUGGGCUCUGACCGGUAAGCGGUCAUGGCGAAAUGGGAUGAACCAUACGUCUGAAUAAGGUGCCGAAAUGUACUAUCACUGAUACCAUAAAGGGAGUCCAUGUAUUUAGACAGCAGGUCGGUGCCCCUAAAAGCAGGUAUCCGCUAAAGAGUGUGUUAAAACUCACCUGCCGAAUACUAGGGCCCCGAAAAUGAAUGGCGCAUAUAGUACUACCGAUCUCAGACAUCAGUUCUAUUGAACUGAGAGUAGGGGGAUGUGGACAUUUUUGUGAAGGUGCAAUGUGAGUUGGACUGGAAGAAUGUCUAUUACAGA